rnacentral:rRNA from 1 species
CCUACGGGUGGCAGCAGUGGGGGAUAUUGCACAAUGGGGGAAACCCUGAUGCAGCGACGCCGCGUGUGGGAAGACGGUCCUCUGGAUUGUAAACCACUGUCCCCAGGGACGAAGAUGACGGUACCUGGGGAGGAAGCUCCGGCUAACUACGUGCCAGCAGCCGCGGUAAUACGUAGGGAGCGAGCGUUGUCCGGAAUUACUGGGUGUAAAGGGCGUGUAGGCGGGACUGCAAGUCAGAUGUGAAACCCAUGGGCUCAACCCAUGGCCUGCAUUUGAAACUGUAGUUCUUGAGUGAUGGAGAGGCAGGCGGAAUUCCGUGUGUAGCGGUGAAAUGCGUAGAUAUACGGAGGAACACCAGUGGCGAAGGCGGCCUGCUGGACAUUAACUGACGCUGAGGCGCGAAAGCGUGGGGAGCAAACAGGAUUAGAUACCCGGGUAGUC